rnacentral:rRNA from 1 species
CAGCAGCCGCGGUAAUACGAAGGGUGCAAGCGUUACCCGGAUUUACUGGGCGUAAAGGGCGUGUAGGCGGCCUGGGGCGUCCCAUGUGAAAGGCCACGGCUCAACCGUGGAGGAGCGUGGGAUACGCUCAGGCUAGAGGGUGGGAGAGGGUGGUGGAAUUCCCGGAGUAGCGGUGAAAUGCGCAGAUACCGGGAGGAACGCCGAUGGCGAAGGCAGCCACCUGGUCCACUUCUGACGCUGAGGCACGAAAGCGUGGGGAGCAAACAGGAUUAGAGACCCCUGUAGUCCCUGUCUCUUAUAC